UCAAAGUGUAUAUCGUCAUUGCUGCGGUUAAAAAGCUCGUAGUUGGAUCUGCGUCUCAGGACCUGGUCCGUCCAUUGGACGUGAACUAGGCUCCUAGGCUAAAAUUAUGCCAGUUUUCUUUACGUUACCUUGAUUGGUUGCGUAAGGUUGCCGGCGAGUUUACCUUGAAAAAAUUAGAGUGCUCAAUGCGGGCUUUUAUGCCUGAAUACUCGUGCAUGGAAUAAUGAAAUAGGAUCUCGGUUCUAUUUUGUUGGUUUUCUGAUCUGAGAUAAUGGUUAAGAGGGACGGACGGGGGCAUUCGUAUCGCUGCGUGAGAGGUGAAAUUCUUGGACCGUAGCGAGACGCCCGACUGCGAAAGCAUUUGCCAAGAAUGUCUUCAUUAAUCAAGAACGAAAGUCAGAGGUUCGAAGGCGAUCAGAUACCGCCCUAGUUCUGACCGUAAACGAUACCAACUAGCGUUCCGUCGGCGGUAAAUACGCCUUGACGGGCAGCUUCCCGGAAACGAAAGUUUUUCGGUUCCGGGGGAAGUAUGGUUGCAAAGCUGAAACUUAAAGAAAUUGACGGAAGGGCACCACCAGGAGUGGAGCCUGCGGCUUAAUUUGACUCAACACGGGAAAACUCACCUGGCCCGGACACCGUGAGGAUUGACAGAUUGAGAGCUCUUUCAUGAUUCGGUGGUUGGUGGUGCAUGGCCGUUCUUAGUUGGUGGAGUGAUUUGUCUGGUUUAUUCCGAUAACGAGCGAGACUCUAGCCUACUAAAUAGUUAUUGGAUAUGUUUUUGCGUGUCCAAAAAACUUCUUAGAGGGACAAGCGGUGUUUAGCCGCAUGAAGUUGAGCAAUAACAGGUCUGUGAUGCCCUUAGAUGUCCAGGGCUGCACGCGCGCUACACUGGAGGAAUCAGCGUGCUGUAACCAUUGCCGAAAGGUAUUGGUAACCCCUUGAAAAUCCUCCGUGAUCGGGAUCGGGAAUUGCAAUUAUUUCCCUUGAACGAGGAAUUCCUAGUAAGUGUGAGUCAUCAGCUCACGUUGAUUACGUCCCUGCCCUUUGUACACACCGCCCGUCGCUGCCCGGGACUGAGCCGUUUCGAGAAAAGCGGGGACUGCUGUUUCGAUACCUUUCGGGGUGGAGAUUCUUUGGUGGAAACCGCUUUAAUCGCAGUGGCUUGAACCGGGCAAAAGUCGUAACAAGGUUUCCGUAGGUGAACCUGCGGAAGGAUCAUUA
rnacentral:rRNA from 1 species